ensembl:lncRNA
UUAGAGUCUAAGUUCCAUUUCUAUUGAUUACUAGUUGUGGACUGCAUAAGUUAUUUAACUAAUAAAUGCCUCAGCUUCCUAAUUUGUAAAGGAGACAGGAAUUAUAAUAAACCUAUAGAGUCUCAGGGAGGAUUAAAUGGGAUUAAAGCAGAUAAAGCAUUUAGUCUGGUGACUAGCCCAUAGGUACUAUUCAGUAUUAACCAAUCACUGUCUACUCAUUGGGUAUUCUUCAGGUGUACUUGUUCAAGAAGUUACACAUUCCUUGCUCUGUACUGCAGUCCACACCACAUUUCAACAUUUUGUCAAAAUAACAUUAUGCAAAUACUUGUCAUAGAAUUUGAUUCAAUCCUCUCAUCAUACACAUUUUAUGAAAAAUUUUAGCUCUAAUGACCUUCCUUCUUUCCUUCCUUCCUUCCCUCCCUCUCCAUCUCUCAUUUUUCUAAGACUACUGUCAGUAUUGCAGAAACCUGAACAAUGAUUACCAUCAACUCUUCCUGUGAAAUUACUUACCAGUUAAAAUUCUAUUACAAAUUUAAUCAGACAAUGGAUGUAAAUCACUUACCACCAGGCUUGCCACAUCCAAAUCUCUAAAAAAAAUGUUAAGAAUGCUUUAAGAAAGCCAGGGAGUCCAAGGAGAGGCUAAAAUGAUGUAGGGAAGGGCCAUUAUUAAGGAAUGGGGCUUGUAUGUUGUAGAAUGAUGGGGCUGGCCGCCGUGCCUUGGGACCUAAAUUAGGAGGCCUGGGCAAUAUAAGAAAGGAAUUACAGCUUCAUGCGAGAGCAAGAUUAGGGGAGGUGUCCUCCAGACCCUGCCCACGGGCAGGGAUACUAGUGAGGCAAGGCAGAGCGCCAUGCAGGUGCGGUGCCAGGCGGGAAGACCUCUCCCAGAAGGCACCACGCCCACCCAGAGGAUGUCGGGAAGGAUGGCUUUGCUCCUGCAGACGCGACUGCUUCAUAGCUGACCUGCGACCGCUUUCCCCUGGGUACUGAGUCACAAGUGUUUAACUGGGGCCAUGGAACCGGUUCUGGGUUGAUGGCGACAUGUAACAGCAGGUGUAAAUUCCUCAUUCUCUGUCAUCCCCUCCCUCUGUGAGGGUUGAAAUGGUGGAACUCUAAGACAGAAGUAGACUUGACUGCUGAGCUACCAUUCAAAUGGAAGCUUCCCUGUAGAGCUGCCAGAUCUUUAGCAAAAAAGAAAGAAAAUGGCAUGUGCUAAUAAGCAACUGAGAGUUGAGGAUUUGUUAUCAUAGUGAAGCCAGUUCUCUCUUGAUUAAUACAAACUUCAGAGUAUUUUUCUACUUAAAAAUGAAGCCUUCUGCUUAAAAGUGAAGCCAUAAUCUUAUAAAAUUUUAAUCAGGAAAUAAUAAAGAAGAAUUUAAAAAUCACUACAAACCCUACAAUCCAGGGUCAACAAUUUGAAUAUUUCAGUGAAUAUCGGUCUAGCUAAUUCUCUGAGUAUAAGAAUGGACAUAAAAUUCAUGUACAUAAGGUCACACUCUCUAGAUUUCCUGGUAGCCUCCUCUUGUCAUCAAAUAAUAUAAUUUCAGAAUUGUUCUUAGUCAAGUAAGCAGAGACCUUCAUAGGAAGCUCUUUGACAU